rfam:Candidate division WS6 bacterium GW2011_GWE1_34_7 TR61_C0064, whole genome shotgun sequence.
GCCGAGAUGGUGAAAUUGGCAGACACGCCUGCCUUAGGAGCAGGUGGGGAUAAUACCCCUUGGAGGUUCGAGUCCUCUUCUCGGCA